rnacentral:lncRNA from 1 species
AUUUUAUCUGUGGAGGCAAAAUUCCGGCGCCAGUCAUAGACUCGGGAAGGCAGCCUUCCCUUGGUGUUUAAUCAUUGCGGGGACGCCUCUCUGAUGAUUUACCCACGUUCCAUUGGUGUCUGAUCUCUAUGGGGAUGCCUGCCUUGGUCAUUCACCCACAUUCCCUUGGUGGCAAGUCAAUUGUGGGGACACCUGCUUUGGCUGCUCGCCCACGUUGCAGCCCAGGGCUGCUCCCCAACCCCCCUCUCCGUGUCUCUACCCUUCUCUUUAAACUUGCCUCCUUCACUAUAGGCAACCUUCCACCCUCCAUUCCUCCUUCUUCUCCCUUAGCCUGUGUUCUCAAGAACUUAAAACCUCUUCAACUCUCGCCUGACCUAAAAUCUAAGCAUCUUAUUUUCUUCUGCAACACCGCUUGGCCCCAAUACAAACUUGACAAUGGUUCUAAAUGGCCAGAAAACAGCACUUUUGAUUUUUCCAUCCUACGAGACCUAGAUAAUUUUUGUCAAAAAAUGGGCAAAUGGUCUGAGGUGCCUGACAUCCAGGCAUUCUUUUACACGUUGGUCCCUUCCGAGUCUCUGCUCCCAUUGAGACGUGUCCCAAAUCUUUCUUCUUUCUCUCCUGUCUGUUCCUUCAGUCUCCACCCCAAGCUCUGAGUCCUGUGAAUCCUUCUUUUCUACGGACUCAUCUGACCUCUCUCCUUCUCCCCAGGCUGCUCCUCACCAGGCCAAGCCAGGUCCCAAUUCUUCCUCAGCCUCUGCUCCCCCACCCUAUAAUCUUUCUAUCACCUCCCCUCCUCACACCCAGUCUGGCUUACAGUUUCGUUCCACAACUAGCCCUCCCCAACCUGUCCAACAAUUUCCUCUUAAAGAGGUGGCUGGAGCUAAAGGCAUAGUCAAGGUUAAUGCUCCUUUUUUCUUUAUCUGACCUCUUCCAAAUCAGUUAGCAUUUAGGCUUUUUUUCAUCAAAUAUAAAAACCCAGUUCAUGGUCCAUUUGGCAACAACCCUUAGACGCUUUACUGACCUAGACCCCAGAGGAAGGCCGUCUUAUUCUCAAUAUGCAUUUUAUUACCCAAUCUGCUCCCAAUAUUAGAAAAAGCUCCAAAAAUUAGAUUCCAACCCUCAAACCUCACAACAGGACUUAAUUAACCUCGCCUUCAACGUGUACUGUAAUAUAGUAGAGGCAGCCAAGUAGCAAUGUAUUUCUGAGUUGCAACUCCUUGCCUCCACUGUGAGACAAACCCCAGCCACAUCUCUAGCACAAAGAACUUUCAGAUGCCUGAACCACAGCUGCCAGGGGUUCCUCCAGAACCUCCUCCCCCAGGAGCUUGCUGCAAGUGCCAGAAAUCUGGCCACUGGGCCAAGGAAUGCCCGCAGCCUGCGAUUCCUCCUAAGACGUGUCCCAUCUGUGUGGGACCCCACUGAAAAUCAGACUGUCCAACUCACCCAGCAGCCACUCCCAGAGCCCCUGGAACUCUGGCCCAAGGCUCUCUGACUGACUCCUUCCCAGAUCUUCUCGACUUAGUGGCUGAAGAGUGAUGCUGCCCAAUCGCCUCGGAAACUUCCUGAACUAUCACGGAUGCUGAGCUUCAGGGACACGUGAGACAAAGAGAAAAUGAGAUGAGAAACAGCGGGGGCAGUGAGCCAAGGCCACCACUGGGAAGUCUGGCAAUAAAGGAAAAAUGUCAGGACAGUAGUGUGAAAGGGAAGCUGGGUCCAGGCAAACUAUCCUCAGAGGAAGGAUGAGAGCACACACGCAGGCUGAAGGGAAAACACAAUAGUAAGUGUCUAAAGUGGCUGGGU